rnacentral:rRNA from 1 species
GCGGGAAUCUGGUUGAUCCUGCCAGUAGCAUAUGCUUGUCUUGAAGAUUAAGCCAUGCAUGUCUAAGUAUAAGUAAUACAUAGCGAAACUGCGAAUGGCUCAUUAAAACAGUUAUAAUUUAUUUGAUGUUAUUUUUUAAAUGGAUAACUGAGGGAAACUUCAGCUAAUACAUGCUUUUAUAGUAUUUAUUAGUUUUUCCAAAAGCCAAAGGCUCAUUGAUGAAUCAUAAUAACUUACGAAAGUGCUAAGCACUAUAUCAUUCAAGUUUCUGCCCUAUCAGCUCUGAUUGUAGUGUAUUGGACUACAAUGGCUAUUACGGGUAACGGAGAAUUAGGGUUCGAUUCCGGAGAAGGAGCCUGAGAAACGGCUACUAUGUCUACGGAAAGCAGCAGGCGCGUAAAUUACCCAAUCGUAAAUCACGGAGGUAGUUAAUAGAUAUUCUCAACCAAUCUUCUGAUUCGGUUAGAAUUAAGCUAAUUUAAAAAUCUAGAACAAUAAUAUUGGAGGGCAAGUCUGGUGCCAGCAGCCGCGGUAAUUCCAGCUCCAAUAGCGUAUACUAAUGUUGUUGCAGUUAAAAAGCUCGUAGUUGAAAUUUUAAUAACUUAUGUUAUUAAUGUCUCUAAUCGGACAUUUAUUGUGAAUAAAUUAGAGUGUUUCAGCAGGCUUUGUUUGAAUACAUCAGCAUGGAUAUAGAU